rnacentral:rRNA from 1 species
GAGCUUGCUCUUAUGGGUGGCGAGUGGCGGACGGGUGAGGAAUACAUCGGAAUCUACCUUUUCGUGGGGGAUAACGUAGGGAAACUUACGCUAAUACCGCAUACGACCUUCGGGUGAAAGCAGGGGACCUUCGGGCCUUGCGCGGAUAGAUGAGCCGAUGUCGGAUUAGCUAGUUGGCGGGGUAAAGGCCCACCAAGGCGACGAUCCGUAGCUGGUCUGAGAGGAUGAUCAGCCACACUGGAACUGAGACACGGUCCAGACUCCUACGGGAGGCAGCAGUGGGGAAUAUUGGACAAUGGGCGCAAGCCUGAUCCAGCCAUACCGCGUGGGUGAAGAAGGCCUUCGGGUUGUAAAGCCCUUUUGUUGGGAAAGAAAAGCAGUCGAUUAAUACUCGGUUGUUCUGACGGUACCCAAAGAAUAAGCACCGGCUAACUUCGUGCCAGCAGCCGCGGUAAUACGAAGGGUGCAAGCGUUACUCGGAAUUACUGGGCGUAAAGCGUGCGUAGGUGGUUGUUUAAGUCUGUUGUGAAAGCCCUGGGCUCAACCUGGGAAUUGCAGUGGAUACUGGGCAACUAGAGUGUGGUAGAGGGUAGUGGAAUUCCCGGUGUAGCAGUGAAAUGCGUAGAGAUCGGGAGGAACAUCCAUGGCGAAGGCAGCUACCUGGACCAACACUGACACUG